CCUGGGGAUUAGCACAGUUCUGGGGGGAGCACAGAGGCUGCUGUCCCAUCCCUGCUCCGGGCAGGGCUCCCAGGGUGGGCUGCAAUCCCAAACCAGGAGGCAGCAGCGUUUCUCCCGAUGAUAACCCUUGUCCCAGCUCAGCCACCACGUGCAUCCUGGCAGGAGCAUCUCUGGAAGGGCUUGAUGAGCGUGAAGAAACCAUUUUUCCCCAUCUCCUCAGGAUGAACCCGUGAAUCAAAUGGCUUCCUGCAAAUCCUCAUUUGCAUUUGAAGAGUGGAACGAGGAGCGGAGCUGUGGGGAGCUGGAGAUGUUGAGGUACCAGGCUCAACCUGUCCCGCAGGAGCCGAGGGAUGCAGGCCCACGGUGGGGCCGUCAGGAGAGCAGCAGGUGGGUUCAUACAGGAUUUGUGUGGGGUUUACCCACAGCUCAGCAGGAGAGGAGUGCCCGGAUAAGUCUGGAAGAUGCCAGGAUUUGAAGCCGUCUCUCCUCACCCUGCACCUGCAAAAACACCAUUUUGGAAAAUCCACAUGUUCCCAUUCUCGUGGCACUUGACACGGUGCAGAGCAAGGAGAGAUGAUGGUGGCACUGGGGACCCUGACCUGCCACGUGGCUCUGCCAUGGAGAGCCAGAUCCCUGGCUGGUUCUGCCUCAGUUUCCCUCGUGGCGUGCAGAGGAGCCCCUCCACCUCCCCAGGCUGCCAUCCAGCUCUGCCUCCUUGUCCUGGGUGACGUUGUGAUGGUGUAUCCCCAGUCGUCUGUUCUGUUUAUGCUGGGUUUUAUGUUCUGUGCCUCCAAGAGUGGCUCUGAAAAGCAGAGUUUUAUUUUGUUAUCAGCCUGCUCACUCCCCCACAGUCGGUGGGACACGGAGAUGGGACAGUACACGGUGCAGCUUUUGCUUUUUGCUUUGCUUUUGCUUUGCUCUUGCUCCUGCUUUGCUCUUGCUUUUGCUUCUGCUCCUUAGUUAGUUUAGCUAGGCACUCUGAAUUUUCCCUGGACUGUUUUUUCUUUCCCUGCCUUGGAACCACUCGAGCCUGCUCUGGACUGGGACCUGGGAAACACCAAGAAUUUGCACUCCCUGCCCUGGAGCAGCCAUCCCCAGCGCCAGAGGGAAUGAUAACAGAGCGACCACUCCCAGGAGAGACUCUCUGAAUUUGUCAUCCUUUUCAGAGCGGUGAAAGAGUGCUGUCAUCCGGGAGCCACAGCCCAUUUCUGAGGCAGCAGGAGCUGGAGCACCGUGAUGGUCCCUAUGAACCAGGGCCACCACAAGAUGGUCGCUAGAGAAAGGACAUCAAGAGGCUGCAGUGUGCCCAGAGAGGGCCAGUGGAGCUGGGGAAGGAACUCCACACCUGAACAUGUGAGACCAACUUUUGGGUACCACCCUCAGCGUUUCUGACCUUGCCAAGAGGAGGACCCGGGGAGGCCCAAAGGGAUUUUAAGGGCUUGAGGCACUGAAAUGCUUUGUGCUUUGCAGAUCAUCCAGCGAAGCUCUGGUGGCAGCAGACCCUCUGCUCUGUGCAUUCUCCCCCAGUGGAUGAGCUGCACACCCUCCAGCUGAUGGUGCAUCCCAGGCUUUGCCCCCAAGGAGGCAGAAAGGCUCCACUCCCCACUGAGGGGAAUGGCAGAUUUGUCUUCACAAACAAGCUGUGGGUCUGCUGGUAGAUAAAUCUAGCACUUAAAGAGAGGUAAAAGAAACAAUGGGGAGGAUUCCACUGACUGAUGAAGGAAAAAAGAUAUUUGCCUUUACAAAUAAAAUGCAGGUUUGCUGAUAAAUGAAACUGGAUAUUGAAAGAUGAAAGAAACAAUGGUGAAAACCCCUAAAUUCCAUAAGAAUUAAAAAUAAAAAGGGAGGGUUGUACAUUAGAAGGGAAUCUUUGGUAUCAGGAAUUUCAGGAAGUCUGAACCUCUCACGUACCUCAGAAAUGGGGAAAGAGAAAGGGAAAUGCGGCUGGGAAAUUGGGAUAAAAAGGAGGCUUUUUCCUCCAAAAAUUAUAGACACCCCAGGGGAAUGCCCCAUGGCCUCUCCCUUUAUUGGAGUUAAGUAAAAGGACUCCUCUGUCUCCUUUUUGGGCAUAAACCUCUGAUGUUUCUGGAUUCAUUCUCCUGACACCCCCCUCAGGCACCAGGUGCUGCUCA